rnacentral:rRNA from 1 species
GAUUAUGGCUCAGGAUGAACGCUAGCGACAGGCUUAACACAUGCAAGUCGAGGGGCAGCAUAAAAGUAGCAAUACUUGGUGGCGACCGGCGCACGGGUGAGUAACGCGUAUGCAACCUACCUAUCAGAGGGGAAUAACCCGGCGAAAGUCGGACUAAUACCGCAUAAAACAGGGGCACCGCAUGGUGAUAUUUGUUAAAGAAAUUCGCUGAUAGAUGGGCGUGCGUUCCAUUAGGUAGUUGGUGAGGUAACGGCUCACCAAGCCGACGAUGGAUAGGGGAACUGAGAGGUUGGUCCCCCACACUGGUACUGAGACACGGACCAGACUCCUACGGGAGGCAGCAGUGAGGAAUAUUGGUCAAUGGGCGGGAGCCUGAACCAGCCAAGUCGCGUGAAGGAAAAGAAGGAUCUAUGGUUCGUAAACUUCUUUUGCAGGGGAAUAAAGUGCAGGACGUGUCCUGUUUUGUAUGUACCCUGAGAAUAAGGAUCGGCUAACUCCGUGCCAGCAGCUGC